rnacentral:lncRNA from 1 species
GGAUAGGUGUUUUCUUUUGUGAAGUUAGUGGAUGUUGAUCAAGUCCCCCUUUCCGCUGUAUGAAACAUUUCUCCUGUUGUACUUCUUAAAAAGCUUUCUGUUGAUGGCAGGAAGAAGAAGGUUGUUCACAAGAAGAUGGCAGGAAGAAGCAGGCUGAUUCGAUUCGAUCCUCAAGGUAGCCCUUCCCUUCCCCUUCUCUCUUCGAUUUGAUCCGAUCUAUGCACAAAGUUCACUAGUUUGGAUGCAUCAUAGAACUUGUGGUGAUGAUGUUUAGAUUGCAGCAAGCAAAAAUACAAGUGUUGAGCUUGUUAAGUGUUUUGUUACGGUGAAAUCUGAACCAUUUAUUGAAUAGUAGGAUGGCCGACUUUCUAUGAUUAUUUCUUGUUGCUAUGUUUGUCUUUUCCAUAUCCAAAUAAUGUCUAUGAAUUGGUGUGCUUGAAAACCAAGGAAUGCUUCUAUUCCUUGUCGGUGUUCUUUUUAUUCUGGUAUAAGAUGAACCAGCUCGUUAUUUGUUUGGUGGUUGGUUUGCAUACAUGUUCUUUUUCUGCAGAAAUAUGUUUUGGUUCCUUGCAAAGUAAAUAUGCCGUCAGAUUUGCUUUUCUUUUGUUCCUAAUCAUUUUUUUCUAUAACAUGCAGAUGCUGGCCUUUCAUGUUUCUUCGCGAGCAUCAGGACAAAGAAGUUGGAAGAAGCAUAGUUCUAGCUCACUGGAGCUAGUUCUAGGAGUAAUGAAGCCCUUUAGGCUGAUCCUAUUUGUAUGUGUGUUAUAUGAUGUAGACUCUACACUUGUAGACUCAUGUGGUAGAAUCAUGGUGUAGACUGUACACUUGUAUGGCUCAUGUGAUAAUCAUGUGGUAGACUGUACACUUGUAGAGUUGUUAUCCAAUUGUAAACUUGAUGCUGAUCACAUUGUACGUAUGUUAUAUGAUGUAGCAGAUUGCUUCUUGCUGUUACUUGAAGUAUUGUGCCAGUUUUCUGUAUUGGUAUAUUGAAAUCUGAAGAACACGACCUUGAUAGCAGGGUCCCACGAACCAAAACGCCACAUUUGGGACCUAUUUACCAGAAUUUGACAAUUGGGGUGCAUAAAAAAAGAAAAACAAAGGCUACAGCCCAAAAAUUAAAAGGCUAUAAUGUUGGGCCUGGCCCAUGUAGUUGACCAAAAUUAAUAGGGAAAAUAUAUAAAACGCUAAAUUAAUGGGCUUGGCCCACGUAGAACACCGAAUUGGAC